AUUGAACGCUGGCGGCGUGCUUAACACAUGCAAGUCGUGCGGUAACAGGCGUAGCAAUACGUGCUGACGAGCGGCGAACGGGUGCGUAAUACAUGGGAAUCUGCCCUUUAGUGGGGAAUAACCCGGCGAAAGCCGGGCUAAUGCCGCAUAAGAUCUUCGGAUGAAAGCGGGGGAUCGUAAGACCUCGCGCUGAUGGAUGAGCCCAUGUCGGAUUAGCAGUUGGUGAGGUAACGGCUCACCAAGGCGACGAUCCGUAGCUGGUCUGAGAGGACGGCCAGCCACACUGGGACUGAGACACGGCCCAGACUCCUACGGGAGGCAGCAGUGGGAAUAUUGGACAAUGGGCGAAAGCCUGAUCCAGCGACGCCGCGUGUGUGAAGAAGGCCUGC
rnacentral:rRNA from 1 species